rnacentral:rRNA from 1 species
CCUACGGGUGGCAGCAGUGGGGAAUAUUACACAAUGGGCGAAAGCCUGAUGCAGCGACGCCGCGUGAGCGAAGAAGGCCUUCGGGUCGUAAAACCCUGUCCUAUGGGAAGAAAGAUGACGGUAUCAUAGAAGGAAGCCCCGGCUAACUACGUGCCAGCAGUCCCGGUAAUUUGUAGGGGGCGGGCGUUGUCCGGAAUUACCGGGCGUAAAGGGUAGGUAGCCGGCUAGAUAAGUAAGAUGUGAAAGGCAUAGGCUUAACCUGUGUAAGCAUUUGAAACUGUAUAGCUUGAGUCAAGGAGAGGAAAGUGGAAUUCCUGGUGUAGCGGUGAAAUGCUUAGAUAUCAGGAGGAAUACCAGUGUCGAUGGCGACUUUCUGUACUUAGACUGACGCUGAGGUACGAAAGCGUGGGCAGCAAACAGGAUUAGAUACCCCUUUAGUC